rnacentral:sRNA from 2 species
GACAGGUCGACACCGAGUGGAUCGGCAGGAGUGGAGGACCCAGGCACGACGGGCCCCAGGAGACCGGCGACGGACUCCACGGCCCUUGGGGUGAAGCCGCUGCGGCGGCCGGGCGACUUCGCAGGUCCGAACCCGACAGGUCAUCCUUCACAGGCGGCUGACGAAGGGUUA